UACGUAGGGGGCAAGCGUUGUCCGGAUUUAUUGGGCGUAAAGAGCGUGUAGGCGGCCAGACAGGUCAGCUGUGAAAACUCGAGGCUCAACCUCGAGACGUCGGUUGAAACCGUCUGGCUAGAGUCCGGAAGAGGAGAGUGGAAUUCCCGGUGUAGCGGUGGAAUGCGUAGAGAUCCGGAAGAACACCGGUGGCGAAGGCGGUCUGCUGGGCAGUUGCUGACACUGAGGCGCGACAGCGUGGGGAGCAAACAGGG
rnacentral:rRNA from 1 species